AGGUCAUUGUCUGUAUCAAACCAAAAAACAUUAGAUUUUUACACAUUAUUUAACAAAUACAAACCAAUUUAAUUCAGAGAUGUUUAUGUUAAGCUGUUACUGUAAACUAUCUAUCGAAUUGGAACUUCUGAAUGUAUAUUGAUGUCAUUAAUUAUGCUUCAAAUGGGAAGAAGUGUGAUUAAAAAAUAAGAAUAAUUCAUCUUCCUAUACAUAUGUAUUGCAAAGGCCAGUUACUCUAGCUGUUUUCAGUUUACUGUCACAAUAAUUUAUGUACAUAUUAAAUAUUCAUAGCAAAUAUUUAGCAGCUUUUACAAUAACCAGUUGAUCAAAUAUUUAAGUCAUUAAAUUUUACAAAUUCUAAAAUUUCAAUGUUGUGUGUAAUAAAAAAUCAUCAUUUCUACG
rnacentral:misc_RNA from 1 species